rnacentral:rRNA from 1 species
UGGCAACCGAAGUUCAGCGACAUGGCAACUGCAGUUAAACGAACAUGGACGAGGGUCUGGACCAUGGCAACUGCGGGACGCGCGGUGACUGUCACGCGGGCGUGCAGGGCCACGAGGUACGAGGCCUGACGUACGGGGCGUGUGGUACGUUCGCCCACACGCACGCGUGUGAGAGGGAUCGGGAGGGGGAAAAAGAGGUGUGUGGGCUGUUCCUCUUAUACACCACACAAAAUGUGUGGGCAGCCCCCCCCCUAACGCCCACACGUGUGGCAUUUAUCGGCGUCCUUAUUUUUAUGUUAGAGAACGAUGUCGCACUACUUCCAGCACCAAAGCAACCUGAUUUUUUUGCUCUAAUGAAGUGCAAAGCUGGAGAAACAAGGGAAAACAUAGGCACUUCUAUCAAUACGGUUAGCACGACAAAACUAGAGGGGCGUUAGAUGGUUAGCGCCUUAGAGUAUAGACAAAGAAAAUAUACUUCAUUAUGUACUAUUUGUUCAUCGUGACCUUUUGCAGAGAAAAUGGCGAUGUUCCCGUCAAUAGUGCAGAAUGAUAUAUUACUGAUUACUCCCUCCAUCCAAGAUAAAUUAUUGAUUACUCCCUUGAUCUAAGAUUAAAAAGCCUGAGGAAUAUUGUUCUAGGACCAAGGCAUGCAUAUACAUUAACUUACUUUGUGUCAUACAUGCAACCAAUAAAGGCAAAUUUUAACAUGGUCCCUCUUACCUCAUGUUUUCACAUGGGAGGUAAGAAAGACUUACUCAGACGGACUACUUAAUGAAAUAAACGGCUUAGAUCUGUUAUAUACUAUUACCGCUUAUGUGAAAAGAGGUGGUUUGUGGGAGAAAAUCAAUUGGCCCGGCCAACAGUUGCGGCGGCCUUGCGCCGGCAGAUUGGGUACG